GCGCUAGUCGUAUAGUGGCAGUACGCCUCGUUGCCAACGAGGUGGCCCGGGUUCAAUUCCCGGCUUGCGCA
rnacentral:tRNA from 1 species